CCCUGGGCAUGAGGGCAAGCACCACCCUCAUGUCCUUUGCUGCCCUCCUGCUCCCACAAUUUGAGGCCGAGACAUGCGAGGGGCAGACGAGAUGUUCGGCGAGUGCCAACUGGAGCCGAGCCUGGUCCAGUGCUACAGGGACCUGGCGAGAGUUGGAGAGGUGCUGGGAAAGAUCUUGUCCGAGGAACAAAAAAGAUCAUUCCUGCAGCAGAUUAUUCUGGCAAUUCAUCAUGGGUGGAUGCACAUCAAGAGAGCUGCACUGGUUUUCCUCUACACCAUCCUGGGGGAAACCAGCCUCCUGUUCAGGGACAAGGUCAGCAGCCACCUUGGGUGCAAGGGACUGAGAAAGGGCCCCUUGCCUCUGUGCCACGGCUUGUCUCUCUCCCGCAUUGCAAGGAGCAGAGAGAGGUCAUUAGCCAUGGCAGUGUGAGCUUUAGCACAAGGCAAGAUUGAUUUGCAUUGUAUAGAUGAACUGAAUCUGUGAGAUAUGUAUAUAAAGCCCAAGAUAAUGGUGACCCACAGGUCACGUCAGCAGAGGCUGAAGCCUGUACCUGUCUAUAAGUUGCAGAUCUCCCCUGACUUGUGAGGACACUGGCCACCAGGCUAACGGGGAGCCUGCCACGUGCUUUGGAGAAAACAAUAAAUUCAUCUGCCUGAGCAUGAUGGCACCUGCCUGUCCCACAGGAUGAGGGUCUCCAGUGAGGCCCAUGGAUAAAGAGCACUUCCCCAUCAGGACAAGCUUCCCCUUCCCAGGCUCAGGUCAGGAUUGUUCAGGAGCUGCACAGGGCCCAGGUCACUACAUGGGCACCAGUGCCAGAGACUCCUAGAAGAGCAGGGCUAAGGGGGACCCCAGGAGGUCAUCUCAUCCAGCUUCCUGCUCAGGGCAGGAUCAUGCCCAUCUCAAGAAAGCCGACACGUGUUUGUCCAAGCUCUUCCCUCUUGCCUUGAGAACAGCCGUCAGGCACAAGGACCAGGCAUCUCACACAUGAGACCUUGGACCCACUAUCAAUUGCCACAGGCAGUGCAGGCAGAGGGGGCACUGGCGCUGUCACUGGAGGGUGGACAGGACCUCCCGUGCACCGUGCACAGCUAAGCAGAGGGAACCAUUGGGAGCAUGAGAGCCCCUCCAUGAAUGAGGAGGGCAUCUAGCACCUCCCAGGGAGCCUAGCGGCUGUGGAGAGAUCCUGCAACAGUGCCGAAGCCACUGCACGAGAGUCACCAACCGAGCCGAUCCGCCCGCUCAGAGCUGUCCUCCCCCCAGACUUCAGCUUGUGCCCAAAGAAGCAGCCUGAGAAGCCCCUCGUGGGCGAAGGGUUCAACAAGGUCAUCCGUCAGCCCUGCCACGCCAAGGGUCACGAAAGAACAGACACCGUGCGCUCGUAGUCCCCAGGUUGCUAAAGGGAGGACACUUGAGUCAUGCGGGUGGCAUUUUGUUACCCCUGCCUCAGGGCUUUUGCCAGUCGCCGUUUGGGGCCAGGAAGGAAUUUUUCCCCCCUCAUCCAUGGAAGUAUCAUCUGGGGGGUUUUCGCCUUCUUCUGAAGCACUGGGACAAAGUCAGACCAUCCCGGCAUCUGUUGUGUUAGCAGCCUGCCUUAGCGCUCCCCCUGAAGGGACAAUCUUUCGAAGGCUGUGCAGGGAGAGACAAUGAACCAAAGGCACCAAGGAGAGAGAGGCUGUAGAAGUUAAAAGUAGCUUUAGAAUAGGAGUA